rnacentral:rRNA from 1 species
UACGUAGGGGGCAAGCGUUGUCCGGAAUUAUUGGGCGUAAAGAGCUCGUAGGCGGCUUGUCACGUCGGUUGUGAAAGCCCGGGGCUUAACCCCGGGUCUGCAGUCGAUACGGGCUAGCUAGAGUGUGGUAGGGGAGAUCGGAAUUCCUGGUGUAGCGGUGAAAUGCGCAGAUAUCAGGAGGAACACCAACAGCGAAGGCAGAUCUCUGGGACGUUACUGACGCUGAGACGCGAAAGCGUGGGGAGGCAAACAGG